AGGAUGAACGCUGGCGGCGUGCUUAACACAUGCAAGUCGAACGGUGAAAGAGGAGCUUGCUCCUCUGGAUCAGUGGCGAACGGGUGAGUAACACGUGAGUAACCUGCCCUUGACUCUGGGAUAAGCGUUGGAAACGACGUCUAAUACCGGAUACGACCUCCGAAGGCAUCUUCUGGAGGUGGAAAGAAUUUCGGUCAAGGAUGGACUCGCGGCCUAUCAGCUAGUUGGUGAGGUAAUGGCCCACCAAGGCGACGACGGGUAGCCGGCCUGAGAGGGUGACCGGCCACACUGGGACUGAGACACGGCCCAGACUCCUACGGGAGGCAGCAGUGGGGAAUAUUGCACAAUGGGCGCAAGCCUGAUGCAGCAACGCCGCGUGAGGGACGACGGCCUCGGUUGUAACCUCUUUAGUAGGGAGAAGCGAAGUGACGGUACCUGCAGAAAAGCACCGGCUAACUACGUGCCAGCAGCCGC
rnacentral:rRNA from 1 species